rnacentral:rRNA from 1 species
CCUACGGGGGGCAGCAGUGAGGAAUAUUGGUCAAUGGACGAAAGCCUGAACCAGCCAAGUAGCGUGAAGGAUGAAUGCCCUAUGGGUUGUAAACUUCUUUUAUAUGGGAAUAAAAUGCUCCACGUGUGGGAUUUUGUAUGUACCAUAUGAAUAAGGAUCGGCUAACUCCGUGCCAGCAGCCGCGGUAAUACGGAGGGUCCGAGCGUUAUCCGGAUUUAUUGGGUUUAAAGGGAGCGUAGGUGGAUUGUUAAGUCAGUUGUGAAAGUUUGCGGCUCAACCGUAAAACUGCAGUUGAAACUGGCAGUCUUGAGUACAGGAGAGGUGGGCGGAAUUCGUGGUGUAGCGGUGAAAUGCUUAGAUAUCACGAAGAACUCCGAUUGCGAAGGCAGUUCACUGGACUGCAACUGACACUGAGGCUCGAAAGUGGGGGUAUCAAACAGGAUUAGAUACCCGGGUAGUC